GUCCCCGUAGCUUACAACAAAGCAUGGCACUGAAGAUGCCAAGACGGUUGAUCCAUUCCCGAGGACA
rnacentral:tRNA from 1 species